UUUUAUGGAGAGUUUGAUCCUGGCUCAGGAUGAACGCUGGCGGCGUGCCUAAUACAUGCAAGUCGAGCGAACGGACGAGAAGCUUGCUUCUCUGAUGUUAGCGGCGGACGGGUGAGUAACACGUGGAUAACCUACCUAUAAGACUGGGAUAACUUCGGGAAACCGGAGCUAAUACCGGAUAAUAUUUUGAACCGCAUGGUUCAAAAGUGAAAGACGGUCUUGCUGUCACUUAUAGAUGGAUCCGCGCUGCAUUAGCUAGUUGGUAAGGUAACGGCUUACCAAGGCAACGAUGCAUAGCCGACCUGAGAGGGUGAUCGGCCACACUGGAACUGAGACACGGUCCAGACUCCUACGGGAGG
rnacentral:rRNA from 1 species